rnacentral:misc_RNA from 1 species
GAAAUGCGAUAAGUAAUGUGAAUUGCAGAAUUCAGUGAAUCAUCGAAUCUUUGAACGCAUCUUGCGCUCCUUGGUAUUCCUUGGAGCGUGCCUGUUUGAGUAUCAUGAAAUCUUCAAAGUAAAUCUUUUGUUAACUCAAUUGGUUUCUACUUUGGUAUUGGAGGUCUUUGCAGCUUCACACCUGCUCCUCUUUGUUCAUUAGCUGGAUCUCAGUGUUAUGCUUGGUUCCACUCGGCGUGAUAAGUUAUCUAUCGCUGAGGACACUGUAAAAGGUGGCCAAGGUAAAUGCAGAUGAACCGCUUCUAAUAGUCCAUUGACUUGGACAAUACUUUUAUGAUCUGAUCUCAAAUCAGGUAGGACUACCCGCUGAACUUAAGC